UAAGGAAUAUUGGUCAAUGGACGCAAGUCUGAACCAGCCAUGCCGCGUGAAGGAUGAAGGUCUUAUGGAUUGUAAACUUCUUUUAUCUGGGACGAAAACGGGAUUUUUAUCUCAAUUGACGGUACCAGAGGAAUAAGCACCGGCUAACUCCGUGCCAGCAGCCGCGGUAAUACGGAGGGUGCGAGCGUUAUCCGGAUUUACUGGGUUUAAAGGGUGCGUAGGUGGGCUUAUAAGUCAGUGGUGAAAUCUCCGAGCUUAACUUGGAAACUGCCGUUGAUACUAUAGGUCUUGAAUUAUCUGGAGGUAAGCGGAAUAUGUCAUGUAGCGGUGAAAUGCUUAGAUAUGACAUAGAACACCAAUUGCGAAGGCAGCUUACUACAUAUAAAUUGACGCUGAGGCACGAAAGCGUGGGGAUCAAACA
rnacentral:rRNA from 1 species